UGCCUUUCUAGCCCUUUAAAUCUAGCAAUACCAAGCAGCUCUAGCCCUAAAGUUGCCAUUUGUGAGUGUUUUAUCUCUCUUUUUAGAACCCCACCUGUCCAGCCUGCUGACCAGCAUCCGGGCAGACAAGUUGGACAAACUCUUUCAGAGUCUCCUGAGGAUGAUAGCGGAUUGCUGGGUGUGAGAAGUAUGGCCCAGGCUGCUGAAUAAUGGGUGACGUUGGAAAAUGAAGAGUCGAUGGUGUUGCAUGCGGACUUGCUAAAGGAAAGAAAACAAAGAAGUUAUAUGGAGCAGAUUUUUGCAUUAGAUAACAGUUCAAAUCUAUGCAGUUGAAUUAUUUUAUAGCUCUACUUUACCUUUUUUUUAAAUGUACACUAUUAUUUAUACAGUUGAUGUUCACAAUUGCUAAAUCAGACCACACUGCAUCCUACAGUCACUUCAGAGACACGCUGAGGGCAAAUGGAGGCAAAUAUUUUAAAACAACUUUCUGUGUUUUUAGUGCACAUUUAUAAAGGAACCAGUGGUCCUUGAUAAAAGUGACAACUAUUCAUUACCUUAAGAGCCUUUCUAAUGAAUUGAGUAAUAAAAACUGUAUUUGGGA